UAUUCUUCCUUUUCAUUUCAGCCAUGUGGCUGAAACGGUCUUGGUGCACCAGCCUGGUGUCAGGCCUGAGCCUCUGAGGUGGGAGAGCCAAGUUCAGGACAUUGGACCACCAGAGACUUCCCAGCUCCAUGUAAUAUA